UACGGAGGGUGCAAGCGUUAUCCGGAUUCACUGGGUUUAAAGGGUGCGUAGGCGGACAGGUAAGUCAGUGGUGAAAUCUCCGAGCUUAACUCGGAAACUGCCUUUGAUACUCUCUGUCUUGAAUAUGGUGGAGGUAAGCGGAAUAUGUCAUGUAGCGGUGAAAUGCUUAGAUAUCGAGAGGAACACCUGCGGCGAAGGCGGGUUGCUGGGCCGACACUGACGCUGAGGCGCGAAAGCCAGGGGAGCGAACGGG
rnacentral:rRNA from 1 species